GGGCAUGUGGUUAAGCGGUAUAACAUUCGCUUAGCAUGCGAAAGGUCCGGCGUCCAAUUCACCGCUUGUCCA
rnacentral:tRNA from 1 species